AACGCUAGCUACAGGCUUAACACAUGCAAGUCGAGGGGCAGCAUGGAGUCAGCUUGCUGACUUUGAUGGCGACCGGCGCACGGGUGCGUAACACGUAUCCAAUCUACCCAUGGCUCAGGGAUAGCCUUUCGAAAGAAAGAUUAAUACCUGAUGGUUUCAUGAGUCCGCAUGGACUUAUGAAUAAAGAUUUAUCGGCGAUGGAUGAGGAUGCGUCCGAUUAGCUUGUUGGCGGGGUAACGGCCCACCAAGGCGACGAUCGGUAGGGGCUCUGAGAGGAGGGUCCCCCACAUUGGAACUGAGACACGGUCCAAACUCCUACGGGAGGCAGCAGUGAGGAAUAUUGGUCAAUGGGCGAGAGCCUGAACCAGCCAAGUAGCGUGAGGGAUGACUGCCCUACGGGUUGUAAACCUCUUUUGUUUGGGAAUAAAGGGCCCCACGCGUGGGGCUUUGCAUGUACCUUACGAAUAAGCAUCGGCUAAUUCCGUGCC
rnacentral:rRNA from 1 species